rnacentral:hammerhead_ribozyme from 1 species
ACGCAGCUGACGAGUCCUAAAUAGGACGAAACACGCGUCCUGUAU